GUAAUGCUCUCCAAAAAGAUAAAACAUUGGUCUUUAAAGUAUACUAGUUUUUGAAAGUAAAAGAGCAAUAUCMGCAGAAUUGAUAUUGCUCUUUUACUUUUCARAGUUUUUUUUAUACAUUUUUGUAUACAUAUUUAUACAUAAAUUAUGGGWKGUAUUAUAAUAUUCUUUAGCAUUCUUUAUUUCAACAUAAGAAAAAAAUUGCAUUUUCAUAUUUUUCUUUCGUAUUUCGGAAGUAAAAAAAAAAAWAAAUAUUUCCYUCCUCUUUUUUUUCUUAGAAGACGAGUAAAAAGUUUGAAAAAAA
rnacentral:misc_RNA from 1 species